ensembl:lncRNA
GUGGGAGCGGAUGUGGGGUUGUGGGCCGUGCUGAGGGGUGCGCGGUUGUGGAAGUGUGGUGUGAGCUCUUUUCCUUCUCAGGAAGGAGCAGGGGGCCGCGUCUUGAGCCCGUACUCCCGCCAAGGUCCCGGUAGCCGUGUGCUGAAGUGCUUGCAAUGAAGACAAGGCUGAGGGAGCUAUAGUUAUUUAGCUUGAAGAAGGGAAGGCUGUGGGGAGGCCUCGUUGUGGCCUUCGGGUGCCUAAAGGAAGCUACUAAGCUCGAGGAGAGUGACUUUUCACUCAGGCAGGUAGUGCUAGGACAAGAGGGAAUGGUUUUCAACUAAAAGAGGGGAGGUUUGGGUUAGAUGUAAGGAGAAAAUUCGUUUCUCACAGGAUAGUGGGGUGGUGGCACUGCUGUCCAGAGAGCUGUGGGUGUCCCAUCCCUGCAGGCACUCAAGGCCAGGACCUUGCCCUUAGUGUAUGAGUGGUGGCUGCUGUUGGCUUAGCUGCAUGAGCAAGUUCCUGCGGCUUCAGGUUGCUACUUUGAGAGCUGAGCUGCAAGCAGUAGCAUGAGAUAACUUUUCAGUGUGACUACAAAUAGCUGUUGUGAAGCCAGGCAUCCAGGAUGGAGGAUAGUUGAGUUGUUUGUUUUUUAAUAAUAAAAGGAAAAAAAAAAAACCCCACAGCAUUGAUUGGAGAAC